GACGAACGCUGGCGGCGUGCUUAACACAUGCAAGUCGAACGGUAAGGCCCUUCGGGGUACACGAGUGGCGAACGGGUGAGUAACACGUGGGUGAUCUGCCCUGCACUUCGGGAUAAGCCUGGGAAACUGGGUCUAAUACCGGAUAGGACUCCGGACUGCAUGGUCUGGGGUGGAAAGCUUUUGCGGUGUGGGAUGGGCCCGCGGCCUAUCAGCUUGUUGGUGGGGUGACGGCCUACCAAGGCAUCGACGGGUAGCUGGUCUGAGAGGGUGAUCAGCCACACUGGGACUGAGACACGGCCCAGACUCCUACGGGAGGCAGCGGUGGGGAAUCUUGUGCAAUGGGCGAAAGCCUGACACAGCAACGCCGCGUGCGGGAAGAAGGCCUUCGGGUCGUAAACCGCUUUCAGCAGGAACGAAAAUGACGGUACCUGCAGAAGAAGGUGCGGCCAACUACGUGCCAGCAGCCGCCGUAA
rnacentral:rRNA from 1 species